GCUGCGGGCGCGUGCGGGCGCGCGCCCGCACACCUGUGCGCGCGCCGGCCCGCGCACGUGCCCGCUUGUUCCCGGUAUUCCCGCCCCGCCCGCUUCCUGCGGGUCCCCGCUCCCCGCAGCAGAGCGAUCGGCCGGGCGCUGCUGAGCAUCGUCCCCCUGCCUCUCCUGCUCCUGGCACCCCGCUCCGCCUGCCCCGCCACGCUCCGGCGGGCUCACGUGUAACGCGGCUGCGGAAUACUGAGUGCGAGCAGCGCUCCCCGCCCGGCCCCGCGCUCCGCCGCCCGCGCCCCGGGAGCACCAGCCGGGAGGGGCGGACAGGGGCUUCCCGGGGGCAGCGGGACCUGCCCGUCCCCUGUGGCGGGGAGGACACGACUCACACACGCGACAGCCGCCGCCGCCGCCGCCCUUGCAGGGUGACCUUCAGGGCGCUGCACAAACGCCACUGCCGCCCCGGGGCCGGGAGACACCCAGCCGCUGGCAGCGCACCCUUGGCCCGGCCGGGUGGGGCUCGGGGGUUCUCCGCGGGGACACCUCUGUGAUCACAGGUCUGGGAAUCGCAAUGAAUACACAUAAGAUGAGCCUUUCCACAGUACUUCCUAGCAGGUGCACAUUCUGGCUGUUAUCUGCAAGAAUGCCCUAGCUUGGAAUCAAGGACCACCCAACCUCAACAUGUUCUUCUCAUGUCUCAAGAAGAAAUGGUCUGGCCACCAUCAUCUCAUACCCUCCCUAAGUCAUUAAAGCUAGCAUUUAGGGGA